GGAUGACCCAUCAUAGCAACAAUACCACUAUUAUUAACAGCACUAGCUGUAUUUACACUUCAAAAUCUCUGUUUCCUAUCUCUCCCACUGCGAAGUCCCCGCUGAGCAGACCGUCAAUCAGUUUCAAGAGGCCUUCCUUCACGUUCCUUACUCGCUUGCCGUCUGAAUUCGGGGGCAGUCCCUUGGUGAGGAUGGAAGACCCGUUCACUGCUUCCUUGUCGUCUGUUAGUCCAAGGAAGAACUUGACGACAUGCAAUCACUUGCGCCAUGUGGAAUCCAUGGCCCACUUGCCUUCCGGAGCCGACAGGAUAACCAGAUUGAAUGCUCUUAUCUUAGGUGAUGCACUUGCUUCCGAGGAGGAUGAUCUCAUCUUUCCCAGCGAAGUUUUCUCUAGCCAGGCUCAUGUUUCUUCUUCUCAGAAGUAUUUGGAGAUGUAUCAAAGGUCGGUCCACGAUCCCUCAGGAUUCUGGUCUGAUAUUGCAUCAGAAUUUUACUGGAGAGAGAAAUGGGGCCAGCAGGUUUACUGUGAGAAUUUUGAUGUUCGAAAGGGGAAAAUCAAGAUCGAGUGGUUCAAGGGUGGAAUGACAAAUAUCUGCUACAACUGCUUGGAUAGAAACAUCGAGUCUGGAAAGGGUGACAAAACAGCAAUUUACUGGGAAGGAAACGAACCUGGUCUUGAUAGUUCUAUGACGUACAAUCAACUCUUGGCUAGAGUUUGCCAGCUAGCAAAUUAUUUGAAAGAUGUUGGAGUUCACAAGGGUGAUGCAGUUGUCAUCUACUUACCCAUGCUUAUGGAGCUACCAAUUGCAAUGCUUGCUUGUGCUCGUAUUGGUGCCAUUCACUCGGUUGUGUUUGCUGGUUUCUCAGCUGAAUCUCUUGCUCAAAGGAUCAUAGAUUGCAGACCAAAGGUUGUCAUAACAUGCAAUGCUGUUAGGAGGGGGUCCAAGAUUAUUUAUCUCAAAGAAAUUGUUGAUAGUGCCCUUCUAGAAUCUGCUCAAAAGGGCAUCGUUACAGAUGUGUGUUUGACAUAUGAAAAUGAAUCAGCAAUGAAAAAGGAAAUGACUAAAUGGACCAAGGGGCGAGACAUUUGGUGGCAGGAUGUUAUUUUGAAAUAUCCAGUAACAUGUGAUGUGGAGUGGGUUGAUGCGGAAGAUCCCCUUUUUCUGCUCUACACUAGUGGGAGUACCGGAAAGCCUAAGGGUGUCUUGCAUACAACGGGAGGAUAUAUGGUGUACACUGCUACUACAUUCAAGUAUGCAUUUGACUACAAGCCGACAGACAUAUAUUGGUGUACAGCUGACUGUGGUUGGAUUACUGGGCAUAGUUAUGUAACCUAUGGACCUUUGCUAAAUGGAGCAACCGUUGUUGUUUUUGAAGGGGCCCCAAACUAUCCUGAUGUCGGGCGUUGUUGGGAUAUUGUUGAUAAGUAUAAGGUUUCAAUAUUUUAUACAGCUCCAACACUGGUGAGAUCUCUGAUGCGUGAGGGAGAUGAGCAUGUCUCUCGAUAUUCACGCAAAUCUUUACGGGUGCUUGGAAGUGUGGGUGAGCCUAUCAAUCCAAGUGCAUGGAGGUGGUUUUUCAAUGUGAUAGGUGAUGCAAGGUGCCCCAUAUCUGAUACAUGGUGGCAAACAGAAACCGGUGGUUUCAUGAUUACUCCUUUACCAGGAGCGUGGCCGCAGAAACCUGGUUCUGCUACUCUUCCUUUCUUUGGAGUCCAGCCAGUAAUAGUGGAUGAGAAAGGUGUUGAGAUUGAAGGUGAGUGCAGUGGGUAUCUGUGUGUGAAAAGCUCGUGGCCUGGGGCAUUCCGAACACUUCAUGGGGAUCAUGAGAGAUAUGAAACCACAUAUUUUAGUACCUUCCCUGGAUAUUAUUUCAGUGGUGAUGGCUGCAGCAGGGACAAAGAUGGUUACUACUGGCUCACUGGAAGAGUAGAUGAUGUGAUUAAUGUGAGUGGACAUCGUAUUGGCACAGCCGAAGUGGAAUCUGCUCUAGUUUCACAUCCUCAGUGUGCUGAAGCUGCUGUGGUUGGUGUGGAGCAUGAGGUUAAAGGACAGGGAAUAUAUGCAUUUGUUACUAUAGUCGAAGGUGUUCCAUACAGCGAUGACCUGCGAAAAAGUCUUGUGAUGGUUGUUAGGAAUCAGAUUGGGGCUUUUGCAGCGCCAGACAAGAUACAUUGGGCACCAGGUCUUCCAAAGACGAGAAGUGGGAAAAUAAUGAGAAGAAUUCUGAGGAAAAUUGCUUCCAGGCAGUUAGAUGAG
rnacentral:misc_RNA from 1 species